AAAUAAUUAUAUUAUAAAAAGUACUCGGACUGCGUAACAAAUGAAGUAACACAACAAGCGUGCACGAUUCAGCAACAAAGCCAAAAGAAAACAAAAAGAAAUCUCGAGGCGCUCUGGAAGAUUUAGUUAGGAGUUUGAAAUAUUUACAUAUGAUUUUAUGUUAUUUUAUUUUAUAUUGAACAGGGGGAUUUUAAGGGGGUGGGUGGGGGAGGGGCAGACUUUUUUGAUUGACACAAGAGACUUCUUUGUCUCCUUUUCUGUGUUUUUGUAUUAUAUAUACAUAUAUAAAUACAUACACAGUUUAUAUAUUUCUUUGCGUUAUGUAAAAAAAAAUAUAUAUAUAUAUGCGUGCGUGUGUGCGUGCACAUGUGUGCAUAUGAAUAAAAGCUCCGCCUCUGGGUUCAUUGUAUUCUGAAUCAACAAAGCGUUAUACGUGAUUGGUUCAGAACACUUCACAGGCAUCUGGGGCGGAGCUUUUGUGUGGCAGUCAAUCUGCUGCUGACUGAGAUAUUAUGUAUGUAUACACGAAUAAAUGAAAUGUGUUUCCGGAGCAGGAAUGCUGUAAUUUCUAGCAGAUGUUCUAAAAAUUUCAGUUCAGAGCCGUAGAACUGUAGAUUAUGUUCUAAUCCUGAGUUUAACACUCGUGCUUUUCCUCUCCGUUAGUAUCAGUAGUCCUCAGGUUUCUUUGUUUGUUGGUCACACCACGAAUUCAGUCAAAAAGCAGGGUUUUUUUUUUUUUUUUGAUUGAAUAAACCAAUCCAUUGAAAGAUAGAUUCGAUGCGAUUGUGUUAGGUUCGAGUUGAACAUGAAUGGUGCAUCGUUAGCUGAGGCGUCACGUGACUCAGUGUUUCUUAAAAUAAAGAUGAUGCCGAUUGUUCAGCACUGUGAACUGAGGAGCUGAGCAUUUCCUGUUUUCUGUGUUAAAUCGUCGAUGCUGUGUAGUUGUUGUAACCACUACUUGAACAUUUGUUACACUUUUUUCUCCCUUUUUCCAAUUUUAACGUCAUCUUAAAUGGAAAAACUGUAUAUUUUAAUCAGAAUGUCUUAAUACGCAAAUGUAACAGUUUUGAAAAGACAACAAAAGGUGUAAAUACAAUACAGCACAGUUGCUCCUUGCCAAAUUCUGGCUUGUAUGUUUUGUUUUUAAUUUGCGUGCGUGCGUGUGUGUGUGUUUUCUUGUUUAUGUACUGUAACUCUCUCGGUGACGCUCGGAGUGUGUGCUGUUGGUCGGUCAGUGUUAAAGCUCUUCUGGCUUACCUCUUUAUUUACAUUAUAAACCGUUUCAUUUGUAAUAUUUUAAUGACUCAUAAUACGAUCCGGGGGGGGGGGGGGCACCAGGGCUGGAUUUUGAGCGGAUAAAAUAAAUUCUCUUCUGGCAUUGGAGUUAGAGGCCCAAGUAAAAUUUGCUAAUUGUGAUGCACUGCUUCAGAAAAUGGAACUGAUUUAAUGUUUUUUGGUGGUUGUUUUUUUUUUUUUUUAAAACCCAUUUUACUUUUUAUGAUUUGUAGCCUAAUCCAGGCAACGUUAACAUGCCAGGCUGCUGCGCUGCAUGGGUUUUAACGAUACUCAGAGAAAUGUAAAUCCAAUAACUGCUCAAAUCAUUAGGUUACAUGCAAUACAUGCAACAAAGUAGGUAUUUUGGAUGUUUUUAAUUAUACACAUUGUUAAAUUAAGGUAAGCGGCUGAGUUUUCUAAAAACAACAACUAACAACCGUAUAAAGUUUUAUAAAGCAGGUAUUUUGGGUCCACUAAUUUGACUGGAGCAGUGGUGUUGCAAGAGUGCUGAUAUUUAGUAUAACAGCACCGGGACAUUUCACCGUUCGUAUCAAGUCACUUGUGUGUGUUCACUACAUACAAUUCCAAACCGAGCGACAGUUCAUUACAUUGAAACUGUUACUACACUUACUACGGGCUGUCAGUUAAUCUGAGUGUUGGCAUGGUGACAUGCAGCACUAUCUAGCUACAGCUUCUUUAGGAACUGUCGUCAAUGACGGAGCAAAACGAAACAAAAUAUUUGGGCAUGUUGUUUGAAAUGUCAAUUACUUGGUAUUCAUUUCUUUUCUUCUUUUUUUCUUCUUUUUUUAUAGAACUGUUGUAUAAAAACAGUAUCACACUCGAAGUCACGUUGUAUUGAAUAUUAGCACUGCAUGAUUACCUGUGAUUACCUGCACCUGAAUCACACUUGUGCUGAUAUUCACUACAAAAGCACUCACGCUCGUCUGAUAUUGCUUAAUUAACUUUUUUUUUGGGGGGGGGGGGGGGGGGGCUGGGUAUUUGUCAGAGAUCAUAUUAUGACGGUAUGCUGUGUGUGUGUGUGUGUGUGUGUGUGUGAGAGAGAGUGAGGGGAGGACAACUGAGUCUGUCUUCAGCCCCAGGUCAUAGUGUCAUCCCUAAGGGCAAUAACUCCUCAGCGCAGACAUUUGCGUUUGGCCGGCUGAGAGCAGCACUUCAAGGGCGUCACGUAGCACCCACAAUCCUCCAUUCCUCCAGCUCCCACCCCCUCCUCCUCCUGUGUAAAGCUCGCUUUGUAAGUUAUGCAUUCAUAGACAUGUUACUUUCCAUGAACCGUGUGACCACUUCUUGUGACUAAACUAAAAUUUAAAUAAGAGUAAAGACAGGUUUAAAAAUGGAAAAGCCAAAAAAAAAAAAACAUUAGCUAUAUUCAGACAUUAUCUUACAUUACAUUACAUACAGCGUCAAGAAAAAAAAGUGAAAGAUUUAAAGUGAAAAUAAAGAAAAAAUACAACCUGUGUAACAUUACUACUACUUGAAUGCUUCUGUUUGUGACUGAUUUUUUUUUUUUUUUUUUUUUUUUUUUUUUUAAUAUAUACAUCUUUUCUGUAAAGAUAUGCUAAGUGUCUCCCUUUCUUUGUAAAUAAUGUCCGUUUUGGUCCUCGGUGUGACUCGGAUUCAGAGAAUAGUUACCUGGUACUGUAAUUUGCAUUAAAUAAAGAGUAGGAUAGCUUGGAAAUGAACACGUG
ensembl:lncRNA